rnacentral:misc_RNA from 1 species
GAUGAAGAACGCAGCGAAAUGCGAUAACUAGUGUGAAUUGCAGAAUUCAGUGAAUCAUCGAAUCUUUGAACGCACAUUGCGCCCGCCAGUAUUCUGGCGGGCAUGCCUGUUCGAGCGUCAUUUCAACCCUCAAGCACAGCUUGGUGUUGGGACUCGCGUUAAUUCGCGUUCCCCAAAUUGAUUGGCGGUCACGUCGAGCUUCCAUAGCGUAGUAGUAAAACCCUCGUUACUGGUAAUCGUCGCGGCCACGCCGUUAAACCCCAACUUCUGAAUGUUGACCUCGGAUCAGGUAGGAAUACCCGCUGAACUUAAGCAUAUCAAUAAGCGGAGGA